GGCCGACUAGCUCAGUUGGUUAGAGCGUUGUGCUAAUAACACGAAGGUCUCCGGUUUGAUUCCGAGGUUGGCCA
rnacentral:tRNA from 1 species